rnacentral:piRNA from 1 species
UGAAUGGUCCACCAUGUGCUGCGAACUUU